GACGUCCUUCUGUGCUUUAGAGGUGCUGCUGCCGUUCUAUGAGUGCAGGAGCCUUGGAGCUGGCGGCAGAAGAGCCUGUACAUAACCUGGAGGAAGGACCAUUAUCAUUCCUUAUGAAAAGGAAGAUAGCUCAGAGGCUUGCUAUUCAGAAAGCUUUGUCAGAUGCAUUACAGAAACUAUUGAUUGUGGUUUUAGCAGGUCCAGGCUGAGUUCAAACCCACCAACACCGGUACAGGGGGCCAGCACUCUAACCAUUGAGCUAUAGGUACCCAGCCAAUUUUAAAUAAUUUUUAAAAAUAGAGACAAGAUCUCACUAUGCUGCCCAGGGUAGUCUCAAACUCCUGGCCUCAACCAAUAUUCUUGCCUCAGCCUCCCAAAGUACUGGGAUUUUGAAAAGUUAAGUGGAUGAAAAUAUGGAUAUCUAAAACACUCCAUCUUAUGUUCUUAUUCACUAAAUUCUUCUACGGAAAUGGUCUCAGAUUUGUUCUCUGUGACAUCUGUGAGAAAAAUGACAGCAAAUAUUAUUGUACGCAUUUUGUAGGUGUAGAAUGACUUGCCUCAGUUCACAUAGAAAGUCUUUGAUCCAGGUAUUCUUUCUCAAUUGUUUGCCUAGCAUGCAGAAUACUGAUUAUGAGAUUUUUUUUUUUUUUUUUUUGAGAUAGAGUCUCAAGCUGUUGCCCUGGGUAGAGUGCCGUGGUGUCGUAACUCAUAGCAACCUCCAACUCUUGGGCUUAAGUGGACCUCUUGCCUCAGUUCUUCUAUUUUUAGUGGAGACAGCCUCAUUUUUGCUCAGGCUGUUCAUGAACUCGUGAACUCAAGCAAUCCACCUGCCUUGGCCUCCCAGGGUGCUAGGAUUACAGGCAUGAGCCACCAAGCCCAGCCUGACUAUAAGCUUUGAACACCUGGGUUCAAGUUCUAACUCAAUCUCUUCAAGAUUUUUUAUGUAAUUUAGGUUUUAUAACCAGAGAGAUUUGAAGAUGGUUAAUAUUUCUAAGCUACAGUCAUUUUCUCUGCAAAAUGAAGUUAGUAAUUCAACCUACCAUAUGGGAGAUAAUUGUAUGAGUAAGUGAGGUGACAAAUGCAAAAACUCAGAACUAUGCUUACGUAGUAAACAGACAAAAUAUGUUAACUAUUAUCAGUGUUGUUUUCUACCUGAAUAAAUAGAUAAAUGAAUUCUGUUGAAGAGAAAGUUUAUUAGAUUAUGUUUUUUGAAUCAAGAAUUCAGUUUCAGCUUUCAUUUCCGGCAUUGAUAUUGGGUGAAUGUGAUUCCUAUGUAGUACACAUAAUUGGCUGCUUUCCUGUGAGCUGUGAAAGUGGUUGUGCUAUUGAAUGGCACUGAUUGUGUCCCUGUUGAGUUCUACAGCAUUGUGACUGUUACAGGAAACUUGAUGAACAGGAAGUGCCUGAACAGAAUUGCUGUCUGCUUCGUAGCCCUGAAGGGUCAGAGACUGAAAAAUCAGAGAUGGCCCUGAUAAGUCUCAGCCUUCCAACCUGGGCAGCCCUUCUACUGGAAGUCUUACUUCCCUGCUCAGCAGGUAGACUGUUUUAAAAGAGAUGGCCCUGAUAAGUCUCAGCCUUCCAACUGUCAAGUCUGAGUAAUAACCUUCAAGCACCAGACUAGAUGUUUGUGUUGUUUAUCUCUCCCUAGUAUGCAAAGAUAUCCCUCAUACAUACACAAAAUCCUUAGACCAAAAGCCUAUGGCUUUAGUUUGCCUUGAAGGAAUUUGUAUUGUCUACAAUAUAUAGGCCAGUUUCUACCAAUAAAAUGUUCAAAUGCUGUCUAUCUGCGAAGCUUUGUAUAUUGUAUUUGGUGGAAUUUUGGUUCCCGGGGAGUCAAUACUUGUCUCUUGCUUCUAAUAUGUCUACAGGGGUCUCUAUCCCAGGUUUGAACUCACUUUGACCCUCAUUUUGACCCCCAUUUAAUGCCUUACUAUUUAAUCAUAUGAUGAUUGAACUUUUUUAUUUUGAGACUGAGUCUCACUCUGUUGUCCAGGCUAUUGGAAUCAGCCUAGCUUAUAACAACUUCAAACUCCUGGUUUCAAAUGAUCCUCCUGCCUCAGCUGCCUAAGGAGUUGGGACUACAAGUACUGCCACAAUGCCGGCUGGGUUGUUUUUUUUUUUUUUAUUUUUGUCUUUAGUAGAAACAGGGUCUCACUCUUGCUCAGGCUGGACAUGAACUCCUGAGCUCAAGUGAUCCUUCCACCUCAGCUUUCUAGAGUGCUAGGAUUACAGGGAUGAGCCACCAUGCCCAGGCAUGAUUGAACAUUUUUGUUUUCACAUUUUUUAUUUCCUAUAAAUUGUAAAUUCCUUAGUUCCUGCCUGUAAGAUCAUAAAGUUUUUUGGACCAAACACAGUUGAUACUUCAUACAUAUUUUUAAUAAAUGGUUAUUGUUGUGCCCAAGUCACAAGAUCCCCCACAUAAAUCACCCGGAGACCAAGUCUUUAUUUAUAAGCUUGAGCCUGGGCUCCUUGGUCCUGGUGCAGCAGGAGAGCAGAGAAACCCUGAUCUCGAAAAGGAGGGAGGAUUUUAAGGGUACAGAAAGGAUAGAAAAAGGAGGGGGUGUGAGGUGAGCUGCUGGGGCGAGCUAAUAGGGGUCUAGGGGACUGAGCAGUAUUUGUCCUUGGGUGUCUGGGAGAGUGUUGCUAUCACUCGGAGCAGACAUUAUGCAAGGGCACAGAUCAUGGGGCAAGGACAGGGGGGCAGGGAAGGGAGCAGGUUGCCUAAUGCCUUUGGUAUGCAGCUGCAAAAUGAAGACUGAGGGACAAGAUGAAGUUAGUUUUAACAAAAUGGAGUUAACUUGGUCGUUACAGUUAUGUUAAAAAUUAAAAUGUGAGAUGAGGAAAUUUCCAGGAAAAUGCCCUUAUUUUCUGCUUUUAGAAAU